rnacentral:rRNA from 1 species
UACGUAGGGGGCAAGCGUUGUUCGGAAUCAUUGGGCGUAAAGAGCGUGUAGGCGGCCCGGUAAGUCCGCUGUGAAAGUCCAGGGCUCAACCCUGGGAUGCCGGUGGAUACUGCCGGGCUUGAGUUCGGGAGAGGGAAGCGGAAUUCCGGGUGUAGCGGUGAAAUGCGUAGAUAUCCGGAGGAACACCGGUGGCGAAGGCGGCUUCCUGGACCGACACUGACGCUGAGGCGCGAAAGCUAGGGGAGCAAACGGG